rnacentral:rRNA from 1 species
AACGAACGCUGGCGGCAUGCCUAACACAUGCAAGUCGAACGAGAACUUCGGGUCUAGUGGCGCACGGGUGCGUAACGCGUGGGAACCUGCCCUUAGGUUCGGAAUAACUCCCCGAAAGGGGUGCUAAUACCGGAUAAUGUCUUCGGACCAAAGAUUUAUCGCCUUUGGAUGGGCCCGCGUUGGAUUAGCUAGUUGGUAGGGGAAAAGCCUACCAAGGCGACGAUCCAUAGCUGGUCUGAGAGGAUGAUCAGCCACACUGGGACUGAGACACGGCCCAGACUCCUACGGGAGGGAGCAGUGGGGAAUAUUGGACAAUGGGCGAAAGCCUGAUCCAGCAAUGCCGCGUGAGUGAUGAAGGGCUUAGGGUUGUAAAGCUCUUUUACCCGAGAUGAUAAUGACAGUACCGGGAGAAUAAGCUCCGGCUAACUCCGUG